CCGUAAUCUUUUCCCGACGUCGUGGACCCGUCCAUGGCUUCCUCACUCCACAGUUCGAUCUCUCUCCUCUUCAUCGACUUUCUUUCCGAUUCAGAUCCAGAAAUGUGGUCACAGUUUGGUCCCCAAGACUUGCCACACAUGAUAUGACCACCUCUCUCCUUCUCCUAUGUCGACAGAGUUGUCCUCUGUGAUCUGCCAUCUCUCGCUUAUGCCAACAUCGUCUUCUUCAAAUCCACAGGCAAUGUGCAGGCGGAGGAGGACGACAACGAGCCCGAGGAGAAAGGCCGCUCUAAAGGUUCCGAAGAUAGAUUAUGAAGGUUGGUGUCAUCAGGAAUGUAAGAUGAGAUGAAGCGCUAGUCACGCGAGGCUGCUAAGCGUAGUCUCACAAGAAUAGAAGAGAGGAUAGUGAAGCUGGAACUCGGGUGGAAGUUUGGUUUGUUUUUGAGAGGAUGGGAUGUGCAAGUUACUUGGAAAGUCUGCAGAUAAUUCGUGGUGUUGAGUCAAUAGCAUAGCAUGUCGAAGAAACAAUCGAAAGAAAAAGGAUCAUCAGUAAGUCCUUGUAUUUCCUGUCACUAGCUUCUUCGUUACACAGCAGCAAUUUCUAUGUUUCUAUUUCCACUAACACAAGUCUUAAUGGCUAAUGCCAUGGCCUAAGUCGUUUAACACCAAUGAUUAGCUUGACUCUGGCUGGACUGUCUAAGAUUUAGAAGAUUGAAAAAAAACAAAAACAUUAUUCAUAUCUUUGCACAUUGCAUUUUUAUAUGAUGUUAUUUCUUUGCCAAUUGCAACUAUUUGCUGGUAUUUAUUAACAGUAGGUUGGGAAGCAUAUAUCUGUAGAGGCAAUUAUCCAUGUCAUGAUAUCAGACACUUGUGUGGAGCUCUCCACCUGAAAGCCGUAGGCUUCCAAGUAUAAUUAUCUGAAGAACGUGCUCUGAAGCGGAUCCAAUCAUGGAGAGCAAGCUCCAUGUCAUGAACUUUGCUUCUAAGAUCUUCACAACAAUUGGCAUGCAUGCUAUAAACCUCCCUAAACUGAUACCUGUUACGGUGGCAGAAUUCACCGAAAUAAGUUGUGUUCACAUACUGAAUGCGAAAGCCAUACGCUGCAACUACGUCUUGAUUCUGCACAAUAUACGAACAGAGGGACCUGUUGACUCGUGAGUUUGGAUAUAGAACCUUCAUGAAAUUAAAGUACUUGAAGAAUUCAAUUGAUAUCGCUGUUGAUUUCAGGAA